rnacentral:lncRNA from 1 species
CAAAAGAAACAGAAAGAACAAAACCCAGAAAGAUGACACCAACAGGCAUCCUUUAGUGUACAAUCCUGAGUAUCAGGUCCAGGCAUGAGCUUAUGUCAUCUUUUGAGUUGCCCUAUGAAGAAGAUACUGGAAUUACCCCUGCUUCUCAGUUGAAUAAAUGGAGACUCUGAGAGACUGAGCAACUGGCCUUGGGGCCACACAGCUAGCAAUUUACAGAGCUGAGAGACUGUACCCUUGAUCUUCAAAAUUCUGGUCAGCUCAUUUCCUGAGCAGCAGGAGAGGUUCAAAAGCUGAGUUAGGUCAUAAAUACACGGGCAUUUUUAAAUUAAAUUUCCAUUUUGAUCAAUAGUUUGUUAUGAGACUGUAAAAGUCAAAUCGUUGCAUGAAACCAAUAAUGAAAAGCAACAGCCCCACCUCUCCUUGGAGGAGAUGACUUCAAGUCCUCUCAUCGUUCCUCUGACAUUUCCUUUCAUAUUUCUAAAUGCCAUCUUUUUCUGAUUUCGCAUACAAUUUGUUGGCCUCCUCUUAUGGAAGACUGCUAGUUCCACAGAAGCCACCACACAGAGACACACACUUCCCCUCCCUACGUAACCCACUGCAGAUGCUAACUCAGAGUCCACUGCUACCUGAUCACCUACACGUUACUGACAGCUAAACAAAGUCUCUUGGUUUCCUUUCCUAGUGACCAAAGCAACUUAAGGGAGGAAGGUUUGUCUUGACUCACAGUUCAAGGGUAUCACCACCACAGUGAGGUGGUCACCCACAGUCAGGAAGCAAAGAAAUGAAUGCUUGGUGUUCAACUCCCUUUCUCCGGGUCUAAAGUCCAGGAUCUCAGCCCAGGGAAUGGUACCACCCACAUUUAGGCCAGAUUUUCCCACCUCAACUAGCCUAACCAAGAAAAUCCCUUAUAACAUGCCCAGAAGUUAAUGUAGAUAACAUUUCACAGGUGUGCACAGAGGCUUAUGUCCUGGGCAAUUACAGACCUUGUCAAGUCGAUAACAUAAAUAUUAACCAUUGUAUGAGGGGUUACAGGUGUAGUUGCUGAACUGUGCAGCUUUUUGUUUUCCCUGGUGUUGGUAAUUGUCUCUGUUUUUUACUUACAUUUUAAAGCCACACUACUAAUUCUUCCCACAAACAUGUACACAGUUUUAAAAUCUCUAGUAAUGCAAUCAGAUUCUUUUGGUAACCUAUCACUUCUAUUUUUUUUUCUUAACACCCUUUGUCCUCUUGCCCUGACCCAAACCAAACACCCUCCUAGAUGUCUGCAUGGUAGAUAUUCUGAAAUUUCCCUCCACCAUUAUCCCAGGAAACCCCUUAACCUCUCUUCCACACUUCUUCUUUGGUGCUUGGAUCCGAAGCCACCCUCCUGCUUGGUUUACUGUCUUCUUUUAGUUAUAAUAUACAUGCCAGUAGCUUCCUUGAAAACUGCAUAUGGGAAGUUCAGUUUUUGGAUCCUUGAUUGACAGUUUGGCUGGCUGUAUAAAUCUCGUUUGGAAAUCAUCUCCACUCCACAUUCUGAAGGCAGUUCUUAUUGGCAUGUGGCAUUCUGGGUUGAUGAGAAGUAGCCCAGUGCCAUCCCAAGUCUUGAUCCUCUGUUGCAUGACUUUUUUGGUUUCUCAAGGCUUCUGGGAUCUUCUCUUUAUCUCUCACAAUCUAAAAAAA